GCCCUUAUAGCUCAGGGGUAGAGCGCGUCACUCGUAUUAACAUCUAAUACUGAUUCCUCACAUGACGAGGCCCUCGGUUCAAAUCCGAGUGAGGGCA